CCUGGUAGCUCAGUCGGUAAAGAAUCUGCCUGCAGUGCAGAAAACCCGGGUUUGAUCCCUGGCUGGG
rnacentral:tRNA from 1 species